ensembl:lncRNA
GGGUUGCAUUAAAAUGUCACAUCUUCUUUUUGUAAAUACAUUGCUACAACCGCCCCAGACAAUGUAUGAUUUGCCACAUUGUAAUCGCUGCGUAAACUGACCGAUAAUAGUAUUUAUGAGACCUUCAAAAGGAAGGUGAGGAAAGAUGGUUCGUUAACUUCUCGGUGCAUCUGCUGAAUCGACCUGUUUGAGAGUUAAGCACAGUGACGGGGGAAGCCAUUCACUUCACUGCAUUUCUCAAUGUUUUUGAAGGAUAAAUCUGGUUCAUUUCAACAUGUUUAUAACCUUUCUAGCUCCAACAGAAAAUGCUUUCGGUUAUGACAUUUCACUCACAAAAUGAACAAAUGAAGUCCAACUGGGUAAAACACAACUAAUGCGAGCACAGUUUCUCUCUAAACUGUGUGGCCAUUGUACAGUGUGCUCCCUCCAAAAAGGUUAAGCUAAAAUUGGGGCUUUGUUUACAACCUGACCGCUCGUGCUUUCGUUGAUUUAUUUUUUUACCAAUGUUGCUGUGUUCGAAGAUCUGAAAAUUGAGGUUGGCUUCAUAAAAUAUUACCGUGAGUGAAGGCAAAAAGAGUUUUACGGAACUGAAUUAUCCUUUGAUCUCAAGAGACCAGUGUGGAGGAUUAAAGAGGAUUCAUCAGCAAAAAUACAAUGGAACAUUAACAAGAAUAUUUUCACUGACGUUUAAUCAAGUGACCGUUUUGUUAACUUAGAAUGAUGCCUCCGUAUCAACAUCCGGGUCCUGUUUAUUGAUCGUUGCUCUGCCAUGUUUCUACAGUAGCCCAGGAGGGACAAACACUGAAUCCAGACAGGCCCCUCAGUCUGUUAAGGUCCCCGUAGUUCUUGGAUAGAGAGUGAUGUCCAGUGAGAAGUACAGUUAUAUUAUUUUAUUCAAUCAAACUUGUAUUCUGUAGAUUUCACCAAAUGCUACACACUGGUCCUUUUAAGAACACCAAACCAAAUGUCUCCAUUACUAAACACUGUAUCUGACCUUAUUGUGUGACAGUGAUUCCACAUUCUUUGAAACAUACAAAACCACAUCAGCGAGUUUCUUUCUCUGUUCCCCAAAAAUACUAUUUGGCACAUCAAGCCCACAGGGAGCUGCUACCUGAUAGCGAUUCCAUUGGCGUUUUUGAAGGACUUCUUCGACGAGGCAGCGGCUCUGACAUGUACCUUUUCAUCCGG